GGGUGAGUAACACGUGGGUGAUCUGCCCUGCACUUCGGGAUAAGCCUGGGAAACUGGGUCUAAUACCGGAUAUGACCUCCUAUCGCAUGGUGGGUGGUGGAAAGAUUUAUCGGUGCAGGAUGGGCCCGCGGCCUAUCAGCUUGUUGGUGGGGUAAUGGCCUACCAAGGCGACGACGGGUAGCCGACCUGAGAGGGUGACCGGCCACACUGGGACUGAGACACGGCCCAGACUCCUACGGGAGGCAGCAGUGGGGAAUAUUGCACAAUGGGCGAAAGCCUGAUGCAGCGACGCCGCGUGAGGGAUGACGGCCUUCGGGUUGUAAACCUCUUUCAGCAGGGACGAAGCGCAAGUGACGGUACCUGCAGAAGAAGCACCGGCUAACUACGUGCCAGCAGCCGCGGUAAUACGUAGGGUGCAAGCGUUGUCCGGAAUUACUGGGCGUAAAGAGUUCGUAGGCGGUUUGUCGCGUCGUUUGUGAAAACCAGCAGCUCAACUGCUGGCUUGCAGGCGAUACGGGCAGACUUGAGUACUGCAGGGGAGACUGGAAUUCCUGGUGUAGCGGUGAAAUGCGCAGAUAUCAGGAGGAACACCGGUGGCGAANGCGGGUCUCUGGGCAGUAACUGACGCUGAGGAACGAAAGCGUGGGUAGCGAACAGGAUUAGAUACCCUGGUAGUCCACGCCGUAAACGGNGGGCGCUAGGUGUGGGUUCCUUCCACGGAAUCCGUGCCGUAGCUAACGCAUUAAGCGCCCCGCCUGGGGAGUACG
rnacentral:rRNA from 1 species